rnacentral:lncRNA from 1 species
AAAAGGUUUUAUAGUUAUUUCCAGUACGUGUUCUCGUGUGUCUCUUUAUUAGUUUUCAUACAUGAAGCUAUUUCCAGUUUGUGUUCUCAUGUGUCCCUUUAAAAAGGUUUUAUAGUUAUUUCCAGUAUGUGUUCUCGUGUCUUUUUAUCGUGUUUAUAACUAUUUCGAGUAUGUGUUCUCAUGUGUCUCUUAAGAUUUUAUAACUAUUUCCAGGAUGUGUUCUCACAUUUAUACUAUAACUA